UCGACCUGAGCUCAGGCAAGAUUACCCGCUGAACUUAAGCAUAUCAAUAAGCGGAGGAAAAGAAACUAACAAGGAUUCCCCUAGUAACGGCGAGCGAACCGGGAAUAGCCCAGCUUGAAAAUCUCCCUUGGAGAAUUGUAGUCUGUAGAAGCGCCCUCUGCGGCGGCCGGGCUCCAAGUUCCCUGGAAGGGGGCGUCAGAGAGGGUGAGAACCCCGUCGAGCCUUGGCUUAGCUGCCUCACGAGGUGCUUUCGAAGAGUCGGGUUGUUUGGGAAUGCAGCCCAAAGCAGGUGGUAAAUCCCAUCUAAGGCUAAAUACUGGCGAGAGACCGAUAGCGAACAAGUACCGCGAGGGAAAGAUGAAAAGAACUUUGAAAAGAGAGUUAAAAAGUGCUUGAAAUUGUUGAGGGGGAAGCGAUUGGCAGCUGCGUGUGCGCCCAGGCUUACGCCGUCCUAACGGGCGGCUGCAUGUGCUGGGCGCUGGUCAGCAUGGGUUGGCUUGGCAGGAUAACCGCGGGGGUUGUUACCUCGUCUAUGCUGCCGAGCCGACCGAGGCGUGAAGGCCGCUUUGUCCUUCGGGAUCUGCGGCCUCAAGAUGCUGGCGGAAGGCUUUCAAUCGGCCCGUCUUGA
rnacentral:rRNA from 1 species